CUCCCACCUGUUGAGCAAACAAGAUACACAGUGAUUUAUCAUGUAAACUGUAUACCCACUGAGGGCAACUACUGCGUCUUCUCACUCUUGCGGUACCCGGAACAGACUCAGAACGGGCAGCAGAUGAACGGAAGCAAAGAGCAAAUACUAACGCAGCCUGGAACACGUCUUCCGCGGUGUUCACUGCUCUCCACGGGGUCAAAAUCGGUCAGUGACUUCCUGAGGUAGCUGUUAUAACUAUCAUGGUGCAUGAUAAUGACAUAUCAGGAAUGGAAGGCGUCAAGAAUUCUCUGGUAACUUUCCCAAGGUUGCACAGCUAGUGUGCGACAGAGCUAGUUCCAGAGGCUGUGUUUACAGCUGCGGGAGGAAAGGAAGGCUGCCGUGACUCAGCAGAAAUCCAUUUCCAUCCUCAAAGAGGAAGUCAGAGAAUGGAACUCUGAGGACCUGAGUGGUCCGAUGGGCGUGGCUGCAUGUGGGCUUAAUAGCUAACAGGCUUGCAUCACAAGGCCAUGUAGGUGCUCAGUGUAGAGAGGUGGGUGGUACUGAUUCUGUUAUCUUGUUUACUCAGCAUGGGGCCUAGCAGCCCACAUACUGCAACAGGGCGCUGUUUAAGGCCUCCAUGACAGCAGUCAAGGCCUUAUGGCAUAACCCCUAUGCAGGCCUAUUCCAACGGACAUUUUACCAAGGAGCAUUUGGAAGACAAUGUUGGAACUGUCUCUGAGGCUGCUAAACCUUGCUAGACACGGGCACUCUUUGUAAAAUCACAACGGCCAGCUGCUCGCUGAAGUUUUUGGCAGUCCCCACAGAGCCUCCCAGGCAGUGUACCUUUCAGUGAGACAGACAAAAGCAGGGACACACAGUGACCAGCCCACAGCUGUCUUAGUACAAGCCUGCACUGCUGAAAAGACAAAAGCAGAUACUUGGAAUAGAAUUUCGCUUCUGGGACAAGUAUGAGCUUGGAAAACGAUAGAUCUGAACACCCACUGGGACGUAAGGAAAUGAAAAUGACCAGUUCCUGCAGACCCUUCACGUCCAUAGUCCCUUUCAAUCCUAAACAAACAUUCUCUGCUUCUCAGACACACUCGACCUGAGUUCUACAGGUUAUAUGCACCCAAGAAUGUGGCCUACAACACUGUAGCUGCUGUUGUUGAUGUUGCAAUGUCAAGAGGUUGGAAACCCCUUGCAGAUCCCUCUCUGGCCUCCCUACUUGUUGAGAAGAUCAAAUGAGAUAAUGCAUGGGAAAGUAUUGUGUAAUCCAAGAACUGCCAGUGACUGAAACGUAAGGAAUCCUCAGAGACGCACUUAGUAAGUAUCUGAUUGAUUUUUAAUGAUAAGGUAUUGUCUUCCCUCUUCUCCACAACCAGCCCCUUUAAGGAUUUUAUUUCCUGGAAUUUAAUUUUAUUUGAGUAAUAAAGCCACUUCACGUCUUCCUGAUCGUGUGUGUUUCACCCCACAGUCACCUUAAAAUUUGAUUGUAAUCUAAGCAAACCAACCCCAUAACGUCACAAAGCACACUAGUCACGUCAGUCACCCAGGACUCAUGAGAACGAAUACAUUCCGACCCCACUUCUAUUUCAGAAGCUUUCUUGUGCCGCUACCAAACUGUGAAAAUUGUACCCUCAGCAGGGAUUAUGCAUAUUCUUGUGUCAAGGCACACUCUGGAUACAGGAGGCCUAACCUAUGUCGUUGCUCUCUAAGUCCAGGCCAGCAGAGAACGUGAGAAAUUUCACAGAGGCGACACUAUAAUUUGGCCUCUUAGAACACACCAUUUAUUUAUAGUCCUGGUUCUGUAUUUAUUCUUAGCAAAGACAGCACGCUUGGUGAUAACGGAGUUUUAUAGGGUGCAUUAGAAAUCUUUCAAACGUGUAGUCUUUGCUCUGUUAACUAGAAAGACAAACAAACAAGAACAAAACAAGAGACACAAGGAGAUGAGUAAAGUCUUAAAUUCCAGAGACGAGUUUUUACCUGGUUCCCCCUUUUGUUCCCCCAAAUAACAUGAAAGUAAAAACAUCCAGAUUUUAUACAACAGACAGAAACUAGACAGCGACAGAAGCACUGACUUGACUUAAGAACUAUAUCUCUCACUGAAGUAGUUCAAUGUUUAUUUUGAAACGCUACUUAUGAAACUCUAGGAGCCUAUUCUCUUCAGGUCAACCAAACUAUGAGCCGUUGGAUUUGUGUACAGGCUUGAGCUGUGCUGUUAACAUACUGGACUCGGGCCAGUUUUGAAUAAUACCGGUAAGUUUAUUUAUAAAACCCCAUUUAGGGGGCUGCCUUCCAGAGGAAUUAAUCAAUCCAAAGCAGUUGUCUAUGUUAAAUACUCCUGAAGAUAGGGGGAAAAAAUAGUAAGCAAACAAACCAAACUCCUAAACUCAUCAUUGAACGUUCAACAACUGUAAACAUAAAGUCAGUCCUGAAAGCCUUUGUUUGCAUUUGAGACGGUCUUACUAUGCAGCUCUGGCUAGCCUGGAAGUCCCUACAUGGACCAGGCUGCUUUUAAACCUCCAAUGAUCUGCCUUUCUGUGCCUCUAGAGUGCUGGGAUCAUGGGCAAACACCACCACAUCUGCCUUUUGUUGUUAGUUCCAGAAAGGAAGACCUUGCAUGUGUCAAGCAUACAUUCUCAGCGGCGCGAGCUUUAGUUUUAGCAGAUGACACUUAUUGUAUAGAAAUACAGUUUAAUGUUCAAACCUGAUAGCAAGUUUAUACGACUUUAUUUUUGCCUAAUUAAUUGUUUUCAACAGACACGUUUCCUUCUCAGUCUCAAUGCUUUCCUAUGUCUCCCAAGGCUGGUAGGAAGUUAAAUUCCUUUCACAGUCAGACCGGAAAAGAAAAAUACCUAAGAGGAGACAUGGUGGCUUUAAAAUGUGCUGAUUUAUUAAUUAUUCUCUUUGCCGAACAUGGCGGUAGGGUUGGUGGUGUUAGGAAGGCUGUGGUUUUUAGCAAUGGAAUGGUUCUUGAUCCCUCUCUGUCCCAGUGAUGUGUGAGGAGUGGUAAAACCUGUGGAGGUGGGGUGGGGCUGUCACACUGCAAUCUCAAUAGUAAAGGGUUAGGGUUAGGGUUAGGGGUUAGGGGUUGGGGUUAGGGGUUAGGGGUUGGGGUUAGGGGUUAGGGUUACGGGUUAGGGGUUGGGGUUAGGGGUUGGGGUUAGGGGUUUGGGGUUAGGGGUUAGGGGUUGGGGUUAGGGGUUAGGGUUAGGGGUUAGGGUUAGGGUUAGGGGUUAGGGGUUAGGGGCUAGGGGUUAGGGUUAGGGUUAGGGUCCACCAGGGACCGUAACCCAUGCAUUUCAAGGUGAACGUUUCUUGUGCACACAGGUUAUUUACUUACUUCAUAUGUACUGCUAAGUAUUUUCUGAGUACAUUUUCCAUAAAGAGCUCUCGUUCCAAAGACUUGUCAAAGUCUCUACCAUCUUAUAGUCAAAUCAUACUUCUAUGGCAUCUAAUAUAAUUUAAGAAAAAUAAACGAGAAGAGAGAAGUUGGGUAGAAGUUGUACGGCUUUAAUAAAACUUGGGUUUCGCCUUUUAUUUUGUCCCUGUAGGUAAAAAAAAUCAGCAGACUUCCUGUCUAACUGGUACCACUUGAAGCAUUUGGUUUAAUUUUAGGAUCCUUGAUUGCUGCCGGGAACAAGUGUGCUGCUGUGGCAUGAAAUGGAAGGUACCUGGGAACCAGGCAAGAAAGAAAAGCCUUUCUCCAUAAGUAACGCACUCACAGAAGUGUAGAACGCAAAGAAAAGGACAAGUGAUUUCACUGAGGCAUAUAAAGCAACAUUUCAUCCUCAAGUUCUUGAAAGAGCCAAACCAACUGUCACACACGCCUGUCACAGAAGCCUUUCAGUCCCUUAAAGAACAAUCGCAAGGCCAACUGCACGGCUGGACAGGCAAAGCUGCCUGCUGCCAAGCUCCACGACCCAAGUUCCAGCCCAGGACUCACCCAGCCAAAGAAGAAUGUUGACCUGAUUUCCACAAAUUGUCCUCUGAUCUCUACAUGCCCACAGACAUUUGGGCAAGCAUGUAUGUGUCUACACACACACACACACACACACACACACACACACACACUAAAAAUAAACACAAAAUGAAAAACCACAGCCCAGCAUGGUGGUACAUGCCUUUAAUCCCAACACCUGGGAGGCAGAGCCAGAUGAACAUUUGAGUUUGAGGCCAGCCUGGUCUACAUAGUGAGUUCCAGAUCAGUUAGUCAAGGCUACAUAAUAAGACCUAUUCUCUCUCUUGUGCGUUCUCCCCCCACCCCCACCCCUGUCUCUCCCACUCUCCCCCCUCCUUCUCUCCUUCCCACCUCUCUCUCUCUCUCUCUCUCUCUCUCUCUCUCUCUCUCUCUCUCCUCUCUCGCUCACUCACAUACACGUACACACAUGCACACGCACACGCACACGCACAGGGUCCAACAAGAGGACAACUAGGAAUGCACCUCUGAUAGUGACAGCUUGUCUGUAGUGCCAUGCCGGUCCCCCUCUCUGCCUCUCUUUUCCUGACACUAUGUGAACAUCCUGCACAUGGUCCUACCUCUGUGAACUCUCCCAUGCUUCCCCCGCCAUGAUGGACUGGAACCUUAAUGCAAACUAAAGCUCUCCUCAGGCAGGUUGCUUUUGUCCGGUAUUUUUGUCACAGCUGCAAAAAAAGCUGACACGGAUAGCAAUCCACAAUGGUUCCACCAUUUCUGAUGACUGGUUUCUCAGUAGAGAAAGCCAAGCACAAAGAUAAACACAUACUUAUUAUAAUUAUAAUUCAUUUCCAGGUGGGUGCUAUGGGGGUUUUGUUUGUUUGUUUGUGUUUUGUUUUGUUGUUGUUGUUGUUGUUGUUUUGAGACAAGGUCUCAUACCAGAGCACAAACUGGCCUUGAACUUGUAUCAAUUCUACCUCAGCAUCCAGAGUUCUGGGAUUACAGACAAAGAUUCUAGGUGGACUUGGAAUUCUGGGACGGAAGUGUAACUCCUUCCUCCACUAGGUAGACCUGGAAAGGAACCUAGGCUUUGAAGGCAGUACCUCUCAGCCCUGUAGAAGAGCGUGGGUCAGGCAGUGGUAUUCGUAGCUGUCUGUAAAAGACAUCAAAGGAAAUGAUGACAAUGAACUUCCCAAAUUAUCAAAUGCCCCUGAUGACCUUACACGUCAUGGCUGAAAAACUAAAAGUUACAUUUGUUCCUCAGCAUACCGAUGGCAAAAUCUCUGAGACAGAGGUACGUUGCUUAUUCAAGUCAAAAACAAAACAUCAAUAACAAAAAAAAAAAAACUUGAAUGGGAAACUGCUUUAAAGACAAUACCUGGGAAAAUAAAUGAUCACAUCAAUAAAUCUCAAGAAGAGAAGGGAAAAGCAAUCAUCUCUAAAAUGAAUAAGCCUAAGACGGAAGGAACAUGAAUGAAUAUACUUUGGAAUGAGUUUCCCUUUCAAAAGAUCUGCGAGACUAGGCUAAAAAAAUUAAGAUAUGUAUACGGAAGUUAUCUCAAGAAAGUGACAAGAUAGGAAAUAGAUGACUGGGAAGAUGUGUGUUAAGCUAAUCCAAAUGUAGGAGUUGCAGCACUGAGGUCCGGGCAAGGCCACAUGCACGAACUAGGAACCAAAGAUUGAGGCUCCAGGCAGAGCUUGCGGGACGUUAUACCAAACGCAUUUGCCUUGGUUUAAUAUGGCGCGGCGAUGUGUUUGGAUUUACGGAUAAUAGUUUCUCCGUUGCCUUUCCCUGUUUCUCUUUGCAGUGCUGAGGACUGAACUGAGGGGCUGUGAGCGCUGGCAAACACCCCACCUCUGAACUACAACCCGGCCCUCCGGUUUGCUUCAAUCCGAGGUCAGGGAUAUAGUGGGUGGGACUUCCUGAGGGAGAAUUGAACCGGAAGCUUCUCCAGUUGACAGUCCUCUUUCUUCACUUCCUGUCGAGAAUACACGUGUGAGAGCUACAGUCGUAUGUGGCAGCUCCUGGCUUUGACUUGAUAAAAGAUGGCAGGAUGGGAAGACAACUGCAUCUCAGACCUUCAGGGAGACAGACAACCGCAUCUCAGACGAUAAGGGAAGACAGACAACUGCAUCUCAGACCUUUGGGGAGACAGACAACCACAUCUCAGAUGACGUGAAGUCAGACAAACGAAUCUCAGAUGAUUGGAAGACAGACAACCGCAUCUCAGAUGAUCAGGGAGCCAAUAUUCCAGUCCCAGACCUCCUAUCUUCAAAUAUCUUCACGUUUGAGAAAAAUGCAUUUCUAUUUACUAAGUCUCCAUUCUCUGGUUAUGUUUUUAUAGGCAUGGGAGCCUAACUCCCGUGGAAUAAGUACAAACAUGAAAGCAGUGUUAAAAAAUGUAAGCUCUUUGCACUGCAAACGAAGCACAAAAUUAAAAGGGGAAAUCAAAAGCCAAGAAGUGUGUGGUGGUGCAAACAAACACGAUGGUCGGCCUAGAUGUCCUCCUACCAGAACGCUCUAGAACAGGACAUGAGAAACAGGCAAAGAUGGCCAGGACUAUAGACUCCAAGGCUCACAAUCUGCACAGAGACAAGUGUAUGUUUUUGAUUAGCAAAUAACAUAUAAACCGUAUUUUUUUAUAUACAAAAAGGUGAUAGGCAACAUUUCAUGGAGUGUUUACAAAAUCAAUAUACUUGACCAGAAAAGAUGAAAGAAUGCUGUGGUACAGGGAGUAUUAGAGAGGGCCAAGGUGUCCAACCUCUCUGUGAUUGAGGGGGGUUAUUAAUAUAACAGUCAUAAAUUUUAUCACGAUUCCCCUGCCCCCGAUUAGCAUUUCCAAGCCUGUCACUAGCUCUGUGUAGAAGAGCCAGGUCGUCAGAUGGCUGUCACUGCUCCACGUUGAAAGGGCCAGCAGCAGGCAGGAAGGUCGGCAUUUCUCGGAUUGGCCCCAACUGAGCAGGGAACACAGGCUCUACCACAGAGUUCAAGAGCACCAAAAGAAUGUUAAAUGGAUGGAUUGUUACUCACAGGAAAAGAAACAGGCACCAUGCUUCCAAUUAUUCUUCACUGCAGACAACUAGCUGUUUCUGCUGGCUGGCGCGGUCCCUGCUUGGGGGCACUGCUGAGGAAACCCUGAUGAAGAGGGAUGAAUGUGGCCAGUGAAUUUUUUUUGACACAGCCCCAGCUAUAUUUUUGCUUAUUGCUGGCAAGAGAACACGCGGGAGACAAUCGACAAAACCGUUGUAAAGACGGCUCGGAGGACAAGAAGUCUUUAUAGCCCUUCUCAAAUCGAAACGUUUUAUACUGACGACCGUCAUCUCGGACAUAGGACAGGCUUUCUUAGCUGUUGGUUAGAGAAGGAGAAAAGCUAACGAAAUUCUCCCAUGGUGCAACAUGUGUAUUACAAAAUUUAAAAUUCAAAGCCUUACAACACCUAAAAAUAGGUAAAUAGAACUGGGUAUGAUGAAAUGCACCUCUAGUCCCUGCUAGUUGGGAAUCAGGAAGAUUGCUUGAGUCUAGGAGUUCAAGGUUAGGCAGGAAAAUACAGUGAGACCCCCAUCUCAAAAACACUCUGAGGACCACCACCAAUAAUUGGUAAAGACAAGGUAAUAGUGACAUAAAUCAAUGCCCUAUUUUAUGAUAAUGUGAAUCUAUUAAGAAUCCUAUACAGUCUUUGUGUAUCUUAAUCAUUUAUUUCAUAUAAUUAAACUACAAACAUCCGUGUUAUACAUAUUUAAUUCCUUGACCAAAUUAAGUCUAACAAAAAUAUCAAUUAUAUUUUAAAAAAUACGUUUUGCUUCAGAACUGAGAAGGCAAGCACAAAUGAAGUGAAGACAGUAAGUCCCUCAACUCAUUUUAGGUCACCAGGCAGAGCUGGCUGAUGUCAUCUAGAGAUGAAUGGGGUGUUUGUUUCGUUGCUUCUAGGGGCCUGGACCUGGAGCAGCUUCUUCACAGGAAGCCUGUGCUCUGCAUAUACUUGUAUGUUCUAUCUCAGACAUGUGGAUCUGUAAACAGAUGAGCUAACGGCACAGGAUUAUUGGUUUUUUGGGGGGUGAGGAGUCAAAAUGUUUACUAUCCAGCCAUUCUUAAUAUUUCUUUGCAUUAUCUUAAGGUAUUUCAUCUAAUUAAAAAAAAUGGGAUUGC